rnacentral:rRNA from 1 species
ACGCUGGCGGCGUGACCUAACACAUGCAAGUCGAACGGAGUUGAGGAGCUUGCUCUUCAAUUUAGUGGCGCGACGGGUGAGUAACGCGUAGAUAAUCUGCCUUAGACUCGAGGGAUAACAUCUACGGAAAGGGGUGCUAAUACCUGAUAAGCCCACGAUGGCGAAAGUUAUUGCGGGAAAAAGGGGGCCUCUGAAUAUGCUCUUGAUCUAAGAUGAGUCUGCGUACCAUUAGCUAGUUGGUAGGGUAAGAGCCUACCAAGGCUACGAUGGUUAGCUGGUCUGAGAGGAUGAUCAGCCACACCGGAACUGAGACACGGUCCAGACUCCUACGGGAGGCAGCAGUGGGGAAUUUUGCGCAAUGGGGGAAACCCUGACGCAGCAACGCCGCGUGAGUGAUGAAGGCUUUCGGGUCGUAAAGCUCUGUCUAGAGGGAAGAAAUGAUUUUUGGUUAAUACCCAUUUUCUUGACGGUACCUCUGAAGGAAGCACCGGCUAACUCCGUG